AUUGAACGCUGGCGGCAGGCCUAACACAUGCAAGUCGAACGAGUGGCGGACGGGUGAGUAAUGUCUGGGAAACUGCCUGAUGGAGGGGGAUAACUACUGGAAAAGGUAGCUAAUACCGCAUCCCAUCGGCUGUGACCAGAUGGGAUUAGCUUGUAGGUGGGGUAACGGCUCACCAAGGCGACGAUACCUAGCUGGUCUGAGAGGAUGACCAGUCACACUGGAACUGAGACACGGUCCAGAUGCCGACGGGAGGCAGCAGUGGGUAAUAUUGCACAAUGGGCGCAAGCCUGAUGCAGCCAUGCCGCGUGUAUUAAGAAGGCCUUCGGGUUGUAAAGUACUUUCAGCGAGGAGGCGUUACCCGCAGAAGAAGCACCGGCUAACUCCGUGCCAGCAGCCGCGGUAAUUC
rnacentral:rRNA from 1 species